UACAGAGGGGGCAAGCGUUGUUCGGAAUUACUGGGCGUAAAGGGCGCGUAGGCGGCCUGUUAAGUCGAACGUGAAAUCCCCGGGCUCAACCCGGGAACUGCGUCCGAUACUGGCAGGCUUGAAUCCGGGAGAGGGAUGUGGAAUUCCAGGUGUAGCGGUGAGAUGCGUAGAUAUCUGGAGGAACACCGGUGGCGAAGGCGGCAUCCUGGACCGGUAUUGACGCUGAGGCGCGAAAGCCAGGGGAGCAAACGGG
rnacentral:rRNA from 1 species